rnacentral:lncRNA from 1 species
AAAAUGGUUGAUUGUGGUUGAAUAGCUUAGGUAUCAAAUGGUUGAGAUUUGGUUCAUUGAAAUGCCAGUGAAUCUAAGUAAAAUAAGGCAUAUAUGAAAGUAGUCAUAUUGAUGAUUUGUGAGUGUUAGUUUGGUAUGAUUUGAAUUAGCAAAUUAUGAUAUUUUAAGUAUGUUAGAUGUUGAUAUUGAAAUGGUAUGUUUUGGCCUUGGUUGUGGUUGCUUUGGAUGCCU